CAGCAGUAGGGAAUCUUCGGCAAUGGACGAAAGUCUGACCGAGCAACGCCGCGUGAGUGAAGAAGGUUUUCGGAUCGUAAAACUCUGUUGUUAGAGAAGAACAAGGAUGAGAGUAGAACGUUCAUCCCUUGACGGUAUCUAACCAGAAAGCCACGGCUAACUACGUGCCAGCAGCCGCGGUAAUACGUAGGUGGCAAGCGUUGUCCGGAUUUAUUGGGCGUAAAGCGAGCGCAGGCGGUUUCUUAAGUCUGAUGUGAAAGCCCCCGGCUCAACCGGGGAGGGUCAUUGGAAACUGGGAGACUUGAGUGCAGAAGAGGAGAGUGGAAUUCCAUGUGUAGCGGUGAAAUGCGUAGAUAUAUGGAGGAACACCAGUGGCGAAGGCGGCUCUCUGGUCUGUAACUGACGCUGAGGCUCGAAAGCGUGGGGAGCGAACAGGAUUAGA
rnacentral:rRNA from 1 species